rnacentral:rRNA from 1 species
GACAGAGGUGCCGAGCGUUAGGCGGAAUCACUGGGCUUAAAGCGUGUGUAGGCGGCUGCGUAAGUGCCUUGUGAAAUCCCACGGCUCAACCGUGGAACUGCUGGGCAUACUGCGUUUCUUGAGCCAAUCAGGGGUCGUCGGAACAAACGGUGGAGCGGUGAAAUGCGUAGAUAUCGUUUGGAACGCCAAAGGCGAAAGCAGACGACUGGGAUUGCGCUGACGCUGAGACACGAAAGCCAGGGGAGCAAACGGG